rnacentral:tRNA from 1 species
AGAAACUUAGGUUAAACCCAAACCAAGGGCCUUCAAAGCCCAAAAUAAGAGAUAACCCCUCCUAGUCUCUG